CUCGCUUCCGGGACAAGGAAGCCGUUUCCGGCAGGUGUCAAACGCCCUGUCCUAAUCAUAGACACCUAGGCCUGGAGGAUUUGUGAGAAUCCCAUCUAAUGACCAGCACGUAGAAGGUGCUCCACUUCACAAGAUUUCCUGCAAACCAGAG
rnacentral:lncRNA from 1 species